UACGAAGGGGGCUAGCGUUGCUCGGAAUCACUGGGCGUAAAGCGCACGUAGGCGGCUUGUUAAGUCAGGGGUGAAAUCCUGGAGCUCAACUCCAGAACUGCCUUUGAUACUGGCGAGCUUGAGUCCGGGAGAGGUGAGUGGAACUGCGAGUGUAGAGGUGAAAUUCGUAGAUAUUCGCAAGAACACCAGUGGCGAAGGCGGCUCACUGGCCCGGUACUGACGCUGAUGCGCGAAGGCCAGGGGAGCAAACGGG
rnacentral:rRNA from 1 species